UAUAGUAGAGGGAAGGGAGGCACAGAGAGGUUAAGUAACUUGUCCAGGGUCACACAGGCUGAAAGUGGUGUGGAGAGGGAAUCUGAAUCCAGGCAGUCUGGCUUCAGACCCCACACUGAAAUGCUACACAAUGUACCUCUCAGGAUCUGGUGGUCCUUCCCUGGAGCCCAUGUUCCCCUGCUGUUCUGAAGAGUUCUCCACAGCUCAGGCUCAGAGCAGGCCCUCAGCUUCAGCUCUCAAGGAUGAGCUGCUCGAGAGAGGACCCAAAGCCCUAGGUCUCAUCUGAGUGUGUCUUCAGCAGGCUGCCCCCGAAAUGAAAGCGGAGGUUGGAAACUCCAUGCUACUGGCAGGCCACAUCUUUAUCCUGCUAGGGGGGAUCUACCUCCUCGUGGGCCAGCUGUGGUACUUCUGGCGGCGCCACCUGUUCAUCUGGAUGUCGUUCAUAGACAGCUACUUUGAAAUCCUCUUCCUGUUCCAGUCCCUGCUCACAGUGCUGUCCCAGGUGCUGUGUUUCCUGGCCAUCGAGUGGUACCUGCCCCUGCUUGUGUCUGCGCUGGUGCUGGGCUGGCUGAACCUGCUUUACUAUACACGUGGCUUCCAGCACACAGGCAUCUACAGUGUCAUGAUCCAGAAGGUGAGAGAAGGGGGUGGUCCAGAAGGACUCUUUUGGCCUCAUCAGGCAAGAGCCUUCCUCCACAGCUAUCCUAGGCAGAGGAGGGCAUGUGUACAUCUGCCUGCGUGCCAGCACCCAGAUACUUGCUGGAUGGAAGCUUAAGUACAGGCAUGCAUAUACCUCUCUCAGGGUUCUGCACGCACAUGCAAACAUAUGCACGUUUGCAUAUGCGUGUUUGCAGGUGUCCACACGGGAGCAUGUGCAUCCUUCCACAUGCAAGGAGCAAAGAAUAUGUGCAUAAGCUCAUCUGCAUGUCUGUGUCCUGGGAUGUGUGGGCACGGGCAUGUAACUGCGUUCAUUUAUGUAUUCAGCACGUUUAGGGAGUGCCUACUGUGGGUCGGGCCCUGUUCUAGGUAGGUGUUGGGAAUAUAGCAGAGAGCAAAACAAAAGUCCUUGUUCCCCUGAAGCUGAUGUUCUGGUGGGAGGAAAUGAAAACCUUAAGAAAACAACUGAGAACAUUCCACACUGCUAAAUUCUGUGAAGGAAAAAAACCGCACAGGACAAUGUGAUGGGGAAUGGCUGGGAUCAAGCACCCUUUAGAUGGGAUGGUCUGGGAAGCCUCUCUAAAGAGGGGAUGUUUCAGUUGAGACCUGAAAGAAUGAAUCAGCCACCGCAGCGUGAGGAGGAGAUAUUCUCAGCAGAGGGCACAGCAAUGGCUGCCGUGAGCCAGAAGCAGCUUGGGGUGCCUGGGACAGGGUGAGGAGGCUGGGUGGCUUGGGAGAUGGCAGGAGGGUGGAGGUGAGGAGGUUGGGAGGAAGGGAAGGGCCAGGGGCCCCUUCCACAGGGAGGAAUUUGGAGGCCCCCAGAGGC
rnacentral:lncRNA from 1 species